rnacentral:rRNA from 1 species
AUGUCAGCAUUUAAGAGGAAGAGGCUGACAACAACAGCCAAAGAAAAUGAGAAGUGCAGCAUCUCUGUAGCAGUCAAGGGCCACUGUGUCAUGUACACAGCCAAUGGGAGGCUCUUUGAGGUAGCAUUGGUGUACCUCAGCACGACGAUCUUCAGCGAACUGCUGAGGAUGUCCCAGGAGGCGUUUGGCUUCGCAAGCGAUGACAAGAUCACACUGCCUUGUGAUGCCGGAGUGAUGGAGUAUGUCAUGUGCUUGCUCAGGCGAAAUGCCUCCGUCGAAGUCGAGAACGCACUGCUGAUCUCCAUGGUGACAUCUUGUCACUACACUGGUUGCGCAAUUCCAACUGUUGGAGCCAGCAAGCAAAUUAGUUGUUUGUAG